GGCUAUCUCACUGGCUGAGAGCUUUAGCUCAUCACACUCAGCCAAGGAGCUAAGUCCUGCACCACCAGGCUUACCUCAUCCGGAAAUCAUCCGGCUCUCACUGAGCAGUCGUGGAGGUGGGGAAAAACACCAGGCGGACCCCUUGUGAGAAGUCAAACCAUUCUAAUACAGGAUGACUACUAACAAUGGGUGGGAUGCUAGGCCGUCAUUGUAG